rnacentral:rRNA from 1 species
GAUGAACGCUGGCGGCGUGCCUAAUACAUGCAAGUCGAACUUGAUUUUCGGAUUGAGUGGCGAACGGGUGAGUAAGACAUAGGUAACCUGGCUUAUAGAGGGGGAUAACCACUGGAACCGGUGGAUAAUACCGCAUGAAUAUAUCGAAGGCAUCUUGGAUAUAUAAAAGGAGCUAAGGCUUCGCUAUAAGAUGGGCUUAUGACGCAUUAGCUAGUUGGUGAGGUAAAAGCUUACCAAGGCGACGAUGCGUAGCCGGACUGAGAGGUUGAACGGCCACACUGGGACUGAGACACGGCCCAGACUCCUACGGGAGGCAGCAGUGGGGAAUAUUGGGCAAUGGGGGAAACCCUGACCCAGCGACGCCGCGUGAGUGAAGACGGCCUUCGGGUUGUAAAGCUCUGUUAUGGGGGACGAAGACAGUGACGGUACCCCAUCAGAAAGCCACGGCUAACUACGUGCCAGCAGCCGCAGUAACAC